UGGGGAAUAUUGCACAAUGGGCGCAAGCCUGAUGCAGCCAUGCCGCGUGUGUGAAGAAGGCCUUCGGGUUGUAAAGCACUUUCAGCGAGGAGGAAGGUGGUGAGCUUAAUACGCUCAUCAAUUGACGUUACUCGCAGAAGAAGCACCGGCUAAUUCCGUGCCAGCAGCCGCGGUAAUACGGAGGGUGCAGGCGUUAAUCGGAAUUACUGGGCGUAAAGCGCACGCAGGCGGUUUGUUAAGUCAGAUGUGAAAUCCCCGGGCUCAACCUGGGAACUGCAUUUGAAACUGGCAAGCUAGAGUCUCGUAGAGGGGGGUAGAAUUCCAGGUGUAGCGGUGAAAUGCGUAGAGAUCUGGAGGAAUACCGGUGGCGAAGGCGGCCCCCUGGACGAAGACUGACGCUCAGGUGCGAAAGCGUGGGGAGCAAACAGGAUUAGAUACCCUGGUAGUCCACGCUGUAAACGAUGUCGAUUUUGGAGGUUGUGCCCUUGAGGCGUGGCUUCCGGAGCUAACGCGUUAAAUCGACCGCCUGGGGAGUACGGCCGCAAGGUUAAAACUCAAAUGAAUUGACGGGGUCAUAGCUGUUUCCU
rnacentral:rRNA from 1 species